GAGAGAGAGAGAGAGAAAAACUCUUCCUUUCCCCUUUGUGCCGUCUAAAGAUUGAAGGAAAAGGAGGAAAAACUUAUUUGUUUUUCCAUGGUUUUUACCAUCCAAAAUUGAUAAGGUAAAAAUAUUUUUUCUUCAUUGAUUUUUAUGAAUUUAUAAACAUCUCAACUUAACGUGUAUUACCCAUUAAUUAGAUUUUCAAAUUAUUAAGUUGAAUACAAGUUGUCAAUAAUGGAUAGUUGAUGAAAUUGAGCUUAAUUUUGACGAGAAAUUGAAGUAUGAGUUUUGAGCAUGUUAGGACUAAGUUGAAAAGUAGAGAAAAGUGUUGGAAUUUAUUAGAAAUUUAACUAGGCUUUAUAGAUAAUUUUAUGAUAUUAGGGGCUAAAGUACCUAAUUGAAUAAAGUAAAAACAUUUAGGGAAUUAUGCUAUAGAUUAAAAGUACAAAGUCCUUAAUGAAGAUAUAUGAAAUCGGAUUUUGAUCCUAUGUUAAAUAUCGAAAUAUAUGAGUAUUUCAAAUAUAGGAACUAAAAUGAAUAAAAUGCAAACUAUGUUUGAUUAUAUGUUUUCAUGUGAUUGGGUGAAAACUAAAAUCAUUUUCAUACUUGAAUUAUCAUAUGUAGCUAAAGACAACAUCAGGUCUUCUCAAGAGAAAGGGAAAGCGAGACCCGUAGACGAGUAGCUAAUAUGGUUCGUGCUUCUGUGAUUUGAAUUCAAUGCAUAUACAUAUAUUUAUAUUACUUGUAUCAGACUAUCUUGAUUGAGGUAAUGUCCCUACUUGUCUCAUGAAUUUGGUAAGUAUUUCAUGGUUGGUAACUUGUGGAAGAUACGGAGAUAUGUAUGUGAUGAUAUGAAAUUAUAUGAAUUGAAUUGGAUUGAGCAUGAUAUAAAUUGGUAUUAUAUGAAACUAUGAUAUGUGAUC
rnacentral:lncRNA from 1 species